rnacentral:rRNA from 1 species
CCUGGCUUAGAUUGAACGCUGGCGGCAGGCCUAACACAUGCAAGUCGAACGGUAACAGGAAGCAGCUUGCUGCUUCGCUGACGAGUGGCGGACGGGUGAGUAAUGUCUGGGAAACUGCCUGAUGAGGGGGAUAACUACUGGAAACGGUAGCUAAUACCGCAUAACGUCGCAAGACCAAAGAGGGGGACCUUCGGGCCUCUUGCCAUCAGAUGUGCCCAGAUGGGAUUAGCUAGUUGGUGGGGUAACGGCUCACCAAGGCGACGAUCCCUAGCUGGUCUGAGAGGAUGACCAGCCACACUGGAACUGAGACACGGUCCAGACUCCUACGGGAGGCAGCAGUGGGGAAUAUUGCACAAUGGGCGCAAGCCUGAUGCAGCCAUGCCGCCGUGUAUGAAGAAGGCCUUCGGGUUGUAAAGUACUUUCAGCGGGGAGGAAGGUGUUGUGGUUAAUAACCGCAGCAAUUGACGUUACCCGCAGAAGAAGCACCGGCUAACUCCGUGCCAGCCGCGGC